AAAUCGAACGAGAGAUGAGGAGCUUGCUCUUCAAAUCGAGUGGCGAACGGGUGAGUAACGCGUGAGGAACCUGCCUCAAAGAGGGGGACAACAGUUGGAAACGACUGCUAAUACCGCAUAAGCCCACGGCUCGGCAUCGAGCAGAGGGAAAAGGAGUGAUCCGCUUUGAGAUGGCCUCGCGUCCGAUUAGCUAGUUGGUGAGCUAACGGCCCACCAAGGCGACGAUCGGUAGCCGGACUGAGAGGUUGAACGGCCACAUUGGGACUGAGACACGGCCCAGACUCCUACGGGAGGCAGCAGUGGGGAAUAUUGCACAAUGGGGGAAACCCUGAUGCAGCGACGCCGCGUGGAGGAAGAAGGUCUUCGGAUUGUAAACUCCUGUUGUUGAGGAAGAUAAUGACGGUACUCAACAAGGAAGUGACGGCUAACUACGUGCCAGCAGCCGCGGUAAAACGUAGGUCACAAGCGUUGUCCGGAAUUACUGGGUGUAAAGGGAGCGCAGGCGGGAGAACAAGUUGGAAGUGAAAUCCAUGGGCUCAACCCAUGAACUGCUUUCAAAACUGUUUUUCUUGAGUAGUGCAGAGGUAGGCGGAAUUCCCGGUGUAGCGGUGGAAUGCGUAGAUAUCGGGAGGAACACCAGCGGCGAAGGCGGCCUACUGGGCACCAACUGACGCUGAGGCUCGAAAGUGUGGGUAGCAAACAGGAUUAGAUACCCUGGUAGUCCACACCGUAAACGAUGAUUACUAGGUGUUGGAGGAUUGACCCCUUCAGUGCCGCAGUUAACACAAUAAGUAAUCCACCUGGGGAGUACGAUCG
rnacentral:rRNA from 1 species